AGAGAAAACUGGGUCUAACGACCCGAUCUACCCCACACACACCUGUGAACAUGUUGUUAAUGCCCGACGGCCUCGCGGCCCGAGGGCUACUUUACAAAACGUCUUAUAGUGUCCUGAACGUGAUGUUAUAUCUUAACAAAACA
rnacentral:misc_RNA from 1 species